rnacentral:rRNA from 1 species
GAUGAACGCUGGCGGCGUGCCUAAUACAUGCAAGUCGAGCGAACGGAUGAGAAGCUUGCUCCUCUGACGUUAGCGGCGGACGGGUGAGUAACACGUGGAUAACCUACCUAUAAGACUGGGAUAACUUCGGGAAACCGUAGCUAAUACCGGAUAAUAUUUUGAACCGCAUGGUUCUAAAGUGAAAGAUGGUCUUGCUAUCACUUAUAGAUGGAUCCGCGCCGCAUUAGCUAGUUGGUAAGGUAACGGCUUACCAAGGCAACGAUGCAUAGCCGACCUGAGAGGGUGAUCGGCCACACUGGAACUGAGACACGGUCCAGACUCCUACGGGAGGCAGCAGUAGGGAAUCUUCCGCAAUGGGCGAAAGCCUGACGGAGCAACGCCGCGUGAGUGAUGAAGGGUUUCGGAUCGUAAAACUCUGUUAUUAGGGAAGAACAUAUGUGUAAGUAACUGUGCACAUCUUGACGGUACCUAAUCAGAAAGCCACGGCUAACUACGUG